GUCACCGUGCUCUGCUCAGCACAGUAUAUUCACUUGGACUUCACCGUGACUCGAGCCAGUUGACUCGACACGGCAAGGACCGUAACGGACGCGAGAAGGGGACCCAUGAGGGAAUCACGACUAGAUGACACGUCCUGCCAGAGCCUGGAGGAUCACCUCAUGUGAAGGAAACCCUCAGCCAUAUCUUCUGGCCACAGGAACUUCAAAAGUUUUCCAGCUUCUAUAGUCUUGGACAGAAAGCUUCUUCCAUAUCAGUCAUGCACAC